UACGUAGGUGGCGAGCGUUGUCCGGAUUUACUGGGCGUAAAGGGAGCGUAGGCGGACUUUUAAGUGAGAUGUGAAAUACUCGGGCUCAACUUGAGUGCUGCAUUUCAAACUGGAAGUCUAGAGUGCAGGAGAGGAGAAUGGAAUUCCUAGUGUAGCGGUGAAAUGCGUAGAGAUUAGGAAAAACACCAGUGGCGAAGGCGAUUCUCUGGACUGUAACUGACGCUGAGGCUCGAAAGCGUGGGGAGCAAACAGG
rnacentral:rRNA from 1 species